UACGUAGGGAGCAAGCGUUGUCCGGAAUCAUUGGGCGUAAAGCGCGCGUAGGUGGCCAUGUAAGUCCGCUCGUGAAAGUCAAAGGCUCAACCUUUGAAAGCCGGUGGAUUACUGCACGGCUAGAGGUACGGAAGAGGCGAGUGGAAUUCCUGGUGUAGCGGUGGAAUGCGCAGAUAUCAGGAGGAACCACCAAUAGCGAAGGCAGCUCGCUGGGACGGUACUGACGCUGGAGACGCGAAAGCCGUGGGGGAGCGAACAGG
rnacentral:rRNA from 1 species